rnacentral:rRNA from 1 species
UACGAAGGGUGCUAGCGUUGUUCGGAAUUAUUGGGCGUAAAGCGUGCGUAGGCGGCAUAGUAAGUCAGCUGUGAAAGCCCAGGGCUCAACCUUGGAAUUGCAGUUGAAACUACUAAGCUAGAGUAUGGUGGGGGAUAGUGGAAUUCUUAGUGUAGGGGUGAAAUCCGUAGAUAUUAAGAGGAACACCAGUGGCGAAGGCGACUAUCUACACCAUUACUGACGCUGAGGUACGAAAGCGUGGGGAGCAAACAGG